rnacentral:rRNA from 1 species
CGUAUCACUUAAAGCGAUUCAGCGGGUUACGAUUGACGGAGCGAAGCGACGUCAAAGCGUAUACAAAGUCGAGUCGGUUUAAGGAUACGUUCGUUGGGUAGGGGAGCGUUCUGUAAGCCUGUGAAGGUGUGUCGUGAGGCAUGCUGGAGGUAUCAGAAGUGCGAAUGCUGACAUAAGUAACGAUAAAGCGGGUGAAAAGCCCGCUCGCCGGAAGACCAAGGGUUCCUGUCCAACGUUAAUCGGGGCAGGGUGAGUCGACCCCUAAGGCGAGGCCGAAAGGCGUAGUCGAUGGGAAACGGGUUAAUAUUCCCGUACUUGGUGUUACUGCGAAGGGGGGACGGAGAAGGCUAUGUUGGCCGGGCGACGGUUGUCCCGGUUUAAGCGUGUAGGCUGGUUUUCCAGGCAAAUCCGGAAAAUCAAGGCUGAGGCGUGAUGACGAGGUACUACGGUGCUGAAGCAACAAAUGCCCUGCUUCCAGGAAAAGCCUCUAAGCAUCAGGUAACAUCAAAUCGUACCCCAAACCGACACAGGUGGUCAGGUAGAGAAUACCAAGGCGCUUGAGAGAACUCGGGUGAAGGAACUAGGCAAAAUGGUGCCGUAACUUCGGGAGAAGGCACGCUGACACGUAGGUGAAGUGAUUUACUCAUGGAGCUGAAGUCAGUCGAAGAUACCAGCUGGCUGCAACUGUUUAUUAAAAACACAGCACUGUGCAAACACGAAAGUGGACGUAUACGGUGUGACGCCUGCCCGGUGCCGGAAGGUUAAUUGAUGGGGUCAGCGCAAGCGAAGCUCCUGAUCGAAGCCCCGGUAAACGGCGGCCGUAACUAUAACGGUCCUAAGGUAGCGAAAUUCCUUGUCGGGUAAGUUCCGACCUGCACGAAUGGCGUAAUGAUGGCCAGGCUGUCUCCACCCGAGACUCAGUGAAAUUGAACUCGCUGUGAAGAUGCAGUGUACCCGCGGCAAGACGGAAAGACCCCGUGAACCUUUACUAUAGCUUGACACUGAACAUUGAGCCUUGAUGUGUAGGAUAGGU